AUCGAACGCUGGCGGCAGGCCUAACACAUGCAAGUCGAACGAGUGGCGGACGGGUGAGUAAUGUCUGGGAAAAUGCCUGAUGGAGGGGGAUAACUACUGGAAACGGUAGCUAAUACCGCAUACUAUCGGAUGUGCCCAGAUGGGAUUAGCUAGUGGGUGGGGUAAAGGCUCACCUAGGCGACGAUCCCUAGCUGGUCUGAGAGGAUGACCGGCCCCACUGGAACUGAGACACGGUCCAGACUCCUACGGGGGGCAGCAGAGGGGAAUAUUGCACAAUGGGCGCAACCCUGAUGCGGCCAUGCCGCGUGUAUGAAGAAGUCCUUCGGGUUGUAAAGUACUUUCAGCGGGGAGGCGUUACCCGCAGAAGAAGCACCGGCUAACUCCGUGCCAGCAGCCGCGGUAAUUC
rnacentral:rRNA from 1 species